rnacentral:rRNA from 1 species
UAAUACGGAGGGUGCAAGCGUUGUUCGGAAUUACUGGGCGUAAAGCGCGCGUAGGUGGCUUUUUAAGUCAGAUGUGAAAGUCCACGGCUCAACCGUGGAAGUGCAUUUGAAACUGGAAAGCUUGAGUAUUGGAGGGGGUAGUGGAAUUCCCGGUGUAGAGGUGAAAUUCGUAGAUAUCGGGAGGAAUACCAGUGGCGAAGGCGACUACCUGGCCAAAUACUGACACUGAGGUGCGAAAGCGUGGGGAGCAAACAGGAUUAGAUACCCCGGUAGUCCAUGCCGUAAACGUUGUAUACUAGAUGUGGGAGGAUUUAUCCCCUUCCGUGUCCAAGCUAACGCGAUAAGUAUACCGCCUGGGGACUACGGCCGCAAGGCUA